rnacentral:misc_RNA from 1 species
GGGGGAUAUGAACGUCUUCAGCAACAAGAGCUAAAUGGUCCACUCUAUUUAUAUUGUGUACAAAUCAAACUGUUUCAUUCUACUGAGACUAUCCUAAAGGAAUAAGUAGACCAGACGACAACAGAAUCUUAGUUAUAUCUUUUAGCUCUAUAUUUAACUUCUGGGUUGCGGAUGUCAUCUAGGCUCUGGAUCAACCGAAUUU